UGACCUCGGAUCAGGUAGGACUACCCGCUGAACUUAAGCAUAUCAAUAAGCGGAGGAAAAGAAACCAACAGGGAUUGCCCCAGUAACGGCGAGUGAAGCGGCAACAGCUCAAAUUUGAAAUCUGGCCUUCGGGUCCGAGUUGUAAUUUGGAGAGGAUGCUUCUGGCGCGGCGCCGUCCGAGUUCCUUGGAACAGGACGCCAUAGAGGGUGAGAGCCCCGUACGGGCGGCCGCCUAGCCUUUGUGAAGCUCCUUCGACGAGUCGAGUAGUUUGGGAAUGCUGCUCAAAAUGGGAGGUAAAUUUCUUCUAAAGCUAAAUACCGGCCAGAGACCGAUAGCGCACAAGUAGAGUGAUCGAAAGAUGAAAAGCACUUUGAAAAGAGGGUUAAAAAGUACGUGAAAUUGUUGAAAGGGAAGCGCCUGUGACCAGACUUGCGGCCCGCGGAUCAUCCGGUGUUCUUCACCGGUGCACUCCGCGGGCUGCAGGCCAGCAUCGGUUCUCCUGGGGGGACAAAGGUCGCGGGAACGUAGCUCUUUCGGGAGUGUUAUAGCCCGCGGCGUCAUGCCUUCGGGGGGACCGAGGACCGCGCUUCGGCAAGGAUGCUGGCGUAAUGGUCACCGGCGACCCGU
rnacentral:rRNA from 4 species